UAAUAAGAAAGCGGCUCCUACUCCAGGCUCAAACCUCCCUGCAGACCAAUGGACGCCUUCUAAGAGUUUGGCGAGUCAGUGACUGAAGCGCCCGUCCAUUCCAAGAGAAUCCAUCGGUCUACUGCAAGGUGACAUCUCAGCUAUCUAGGUGACCCAGUGUGAGACUGGAGGAAGAUGAAGGCAUCAGCUCAUCAGUGUCUAUGUACAGUUGGACCACACUGAGCAGCUGGAGACACCACUCCCUUGUCCUCAGGGAGCUUACAUUCUACUUGGGAGAUGCAAUUAAGAAACAAUGAAACAACAUGAGAUGAAGAAAGAAAAAAUUGUAUGAAACAUGAGAAAAUAUCUAAACAUUCUGAGAAGCAAGAAGGCUAUGAGGAGAUAUGUGACAGCAUUUUAGUGGCUUUCUUGAAUCAACAACUGCAUGAACAAGUAGAUUUUACCAUUAACUACUACCUGUACCCUACUUCAAAUCUCUUCAAUAGAAACCUAAAUAGAACUUGAGUCCUACUUGGAUGCUUCCACAUU
rnacentral:sRNA from 1 species